UCCCAGUUCGGACUGUGGUCUGCAACCCGACCACACGAAGCUGGAAUCGCUAGUAAUCGCGGAUCAGAAUGCCGCGGUGAAUACGUUCCCGGGUCUUGUACACACCGCCCGUCACACCAUGGGAGUCAGCAACGCCCGAAGUCAGUGACCCAACCUUUGAGGAGGGAGCUGCCGAAGGCGGGGCAGGUGACUGGGGUGAAGUCGUAACAAGGUACC
rnacentral:rRNA from 1 species